AAGAGCUGAUCCAGUCUACUCUGAAAUAAGGACCUCCACCAACACAGACGUGACACAGAGAAGAGACCACAGAACCAGAGGAGAGGGAAGGUCCUUCCAGAGCUGUAACACUCAACAGUAAAGACAGACAGAGAUACAGAGGCACAGAGGCAAGGUCGCGGUGGUGGUUGGAAAAUCACUCACUCUUCAGACAUGGUAGUCAACCACAACCCUCCCAACCAUCUUCUCAGUUCUUCUGGCCCUUCAUCUGCAUCCACACCUACGCACUUUCUCUGAAGACACAGCAGCUGUGAAACGUUGUGUAGGUGUGACAACGGACUGGGGCUCAGUCAAGCCUGUUGGAGGAAUUAUAAAACAGUGUCUUUAUUUACAACAGUGGUCCAACACCCAGACCCGUCUGGUUGUGAAUGGUGACAGCAUACAUUAUGGACAGAGUUGGGGAGUACAGAAAAACAGUAAUAUU